CAAUAGCGUAUAUUAAAGCUGUUGCAGUUAAAAAGCUCGUAGUUGGAUUUCGGGGCAGCCUGGCUGGUCCGCCGCAAGGCGAGUACUGGUCAGCCGCCCUUCCUCUCGAAAGCCCCGACUGCUCUUUAUUGCAGUGGUCGGGUAGUUCGGGACGUUUACUUUGAAAAAAUUAGAGUGUUCAAGGCAGGCCUACGCCUGAAUACAUUAGCAUGGAAUAAUGGAAGAGGACCUCGGUCCUAUUUUGUUGGUUUCCAGGACCGAAGUAAUGAUUAAGAGGGACAGUUGGGGGCAUUCGUAUUUAAUUGUCAGAGGUGAAAUUCUCGGAUUUAUGAAAGACGAACAACUGCGAAAGCAUUUGCCAAGGAUGUUUUCAUUAA
rnacentral:rRNA from 1 species